UACGUAGGCAGCAAGCGUUGUUCGGAGUUACUGGGCGUAAAGGGUGUGUAGGCGGUCCCCUAAGUUUGGUGUGAAAUCUCCCGGCUCAACUGGGAGGGUGCGCCGAAAACUGGAGGGCUAGAGUACUGGAUGGGAGAGUGGAAUUCCUGGUGUAGCGGUGAAAUGCGUAGAUAUCAGGAGGAACACCUGUGGUGUAGACGGCUCUCUGGACAGUAACUGACGCUGAGACACGAAAGCCAGGGGAGCGAACGGG
rnacentral:rRNA from 1 species